GCUCAGGAUGAACGCUAGCUACAGGCUUAACACAUGCAAGUCGAGGGGUAGCAGGGUAGCAAUACCGCUGACGACCGGCGCACGGGUGAGUAACACGUAUCCAACCUUCCCAUAACUCGGGGAUAGCCUUUCGAAAGAAAGAUUAAUACCCGAUAGUACUUUAUCAAGGCAUCUUCUUAAAGUUAAAGAUUUAUUGGUUAUGGAUGGGGAUGCGUUCCAUUAGAUAGUUGGUGAGGUAACGGCUCACCAAGUCUUCGAUGGAUAGGGGUUCUGAGAGGAAGGUCCCCCACAUUGGUACUGAGACACGGACCAAACUCCUACGGGAGGCAGCAGUGAGGAAUAUUGGUCAAUGGGCGAGAGCCUGAACCAGCCAA
rnacentral:rRNA from 1 species